rnacentral:rRNA from 1 species
GACGAACGCUGGCGGCGUGCUUAACACAUGCAAGUCGAACGAGAACGGGUUAUAACUUGUUAUAACUGUCAGCUAAGUGGCGCACGGGUGAGUAAUGUAUAGGUAAUAUGCCUCUUACUAAGGGAUAACAAAUGGAAACGUUUGCUAAUACCUUAUACUCCUUAUUAACCUAAGUUAAUAAGGGAAAGAUUUAUUGGUAAGAGAUUAGCCUGUAUUGUAUCAGUUAGUUGGUGGGGUAAUGGCUUACCAAGACUAUGACACAUAACUGGUUUGAGAGGAUGAUCAGUCACACUGGAACUGAGACACGGUCCAGACUCCUACGGGAGGCAGCAGUGGGGAAUAUUGCACAAUGGACGAAAGUCUGAUGCAGCAACGCCGCGUGGAGGAUGACACAUUUCGGUGCGUAAACUCCUUUUAUAUGAGAAGAUAAUGACGGAAUUAUAUGAAUAAGCACCGGCUAACUCCGUGCCAGCCGCCGCGGUAA